UUUUAAUUCAUUUAAGGGGUAUAGCCAGUCGGCUAUACGUUUUAAUAUUUUAAUAUAUUUAUAGAGUAUAGCCGCCCGGCUAUACUGUUUAAUAUUUAAUAUA
rnacentral:miRNA from 1 species